GACGUAGGGGGCCAGCGUUGUUCGGAAUUACUGGGUGUAAAGGGUUCGUAGGCGGUGCGGCAAGUCGGGAGUGAAAUCUCUGGGCUUAACCCAGAGGCUGCUUCCGAAACUGCUGUGCUUGAGUGUGGGAGAGGCGCGUGGAAUUCCCGGUGUAGCGGUGAAAUGCGCAGAUAUCGGGAAGAACACCCGUGGCGAAGGCGGUUCUCUGGGACGGUACUGACGCUGAGUGAGCGAAAGCCAGGGGAGCAAACGGG
rnacentral:rRNA from 1 species